rnacentral:lncRNA from 1 species
AUCUAUGCAUGUCUUCCAAAUAAAGACAUAGUCAAAGCAUCCAUCUUCUUGCUUAUGGCCUCUAACUGUGUAUUUACAAAUACUAUAGGGUCUACUACAUGGAUCCCACUUUCUUUGACUUGAACCUGCUCCCUUGGAUUCUGCCACUAAUUGCUCAUGACUGACAUAUCUUCAAUAAGAUCCAUAACUUGCUUUGGAGUCUUAUUAUUC